rnacentral:misc_RNA from 1 species
CUUUUUUUUUUUAAUUUUAUUCUUUCACUGGGUAUGUUUAUUAAGUGGUACAUGGUGCUGGAGUUAUUUCUUAUUUUGAUUUUACUGAUAAUAUAUUUUCUCAAAGUUAAUUUGCUCGGUUUUUUUUAUUUUUUAAUUUUCAGUUGCUUUUGGAUAGAGUUUAAUAUUCCAUGUUCUUGCAGGGUAUUGCAAGAAAACUUCUCAAA